rnacentral:rRNA from 1 species
AGCUAUAAGCAUUUAUACAGUGAAACUGCGAAUGGCGUCAUUAAAUCAGUUAUCGUUACUUAUAUAGGUCCUUUACUACAUGGUAUAACUGUGGUAAUUCUAGAGCUAAUACAUGCUUAAAAUCUCGACCCUUUGGAAGAGAUGUAUUUAUUAGAUAAAAAAUCAAUGUCUUCGGACUCUUUGAUGAUUCAUAAUAACUUUUCGAAUCGCAUGGCCUUGUGCUGGCGAUGGUUCAUUCAAAUUUCUGCCCUAUCAACUUUCGAUGGUAGGAUAGUGGCCUACCAUGGUUUCAACGGGUAACGGGGAAUAAGGGUUCGAUUCCGGAGAGGGAGCCUGAGAAACGGCUACCACAUCCAAGGAAGGCAGCAGGCGCGCAAAUUACCCAAUCCUAAUUCAGGGAGGUAGUGACAAUAAAUAACGAUACAGGGCCCAUUCGGGUCUUGUAAUUGGAAUGAGUACAAUGUAAAUACCUUAACGAGGAACAAUUGGAGGGCAAGUCUGGUGCCAGCAGCCGCGGUAAUUCCAGCUCCAAUAGCGUAUAUUAAAGUUGUUGCAGUUAAAAAGCUCGUAGUUGAACUUUGGGCCCGGUUGGCCGGUCCGAUUUUUUCGUGUACUGGAUUUCCAACGGGGCCUUUCCUUCUGGCUAACCUUGAGUCCUUGUGGCUCUUGGCGAACCAGGACUUUUACUUUGAAAAAAUUAGAGUGUUCAAAGCAGGCGUAUUGCUCGAAUAUAUUAGCAUGGAAUAAUAGAAUAGGACGUUUGGUUCUAUUUUGUUGGUUUCUAGGACCAUCGUAAUGAUUAAUAGGGACGGUCGGGGGCAUCAGUAUUCAAUUGUCAGAGGUGAAAUUCUUGGAUUUAUUGAAGACUAACUACUGCGAAAGCAUUUGCCAAGGACGUUUUCAUUAAUCAAGAACGAAAGUUAGGGGAUCGAAGAUGAUCAGAUACCGUCGUAGUCUUAACCAUAAACUAUGCCGACUAGGGAUCGGGAUGUUUUUUUUAAUGACCCACUCGGCACCUUACGAGAAAUCAAAGUCUUUGGGUCCUG